ACACCUGCUGGUCUCACCGCUAGGGCCUGGGCAUCACAGGCAGGGGGAAUGGGGAGGGGACGGUAGCGUCAGCCUACACCCACACGCAGGUUAGAGCCUUGGACGGGGAAGCGGAAAAGGCUUAGCAGCUACUAAUGGGUUCUAUUAAUAGUAGUAGUGUUAGGUAGGCUGCACUGGCUGUAUUCUGCCCCCAUGCCUAUCAUUCCCUCACUCUGUGACCCUGGGCGAGUCUCUUCCUCAUCCUGGUGCUCAGUUGCCUUUUCAUAAAGAAAGGGUUGAUUCCCCAUGAUCUGUUGACUCCUUUGCUUUUGGAUAUUUUGGAAGACGCCCUGCGUCACGGGCUAGUUAAUUGUGAACGUCAGGGAAAGCACCAGAGUAGAGAAGCACUUCCAGGAUCCAGAGCCAGGAGGAUGCUCAAAAGGAAGGGAGGAGAGAUGCCCUUCGGCCAAAGGGAGAGCUUGGAGGGUGAGGGGAAGUGGUUGCUUACCAGAAGGGCCUCGGAGUGUGAACUCAAAAGAUAGAGGAUGGCCGAGCGUGGAGGCUCAUGCCUGUAAUUUCAGCACUUUGGGAGGCCGAGGCGGGCAGAUCACUUGAGGACAGGAGUUCGAGACCAGCCUGGCCAAUAUGACGAGACCCCAUCUCUACUAAAAAUACAAAAAUUAGUCAGGCGUCAUAGCAGGCACCUGUAAUCCCAGCUACUUGGCUACUUGGGAGGCUGAGGCAUGAGAAUCACUUGAACCUGGGAGGUGGAGCUGCAGUGAGCCGAGAUUGCACCACUGCACUCCAGCCUGGGCGACACAGUGAGACCCUGUCUUAAAAAAAUAAUAAUAAUAGAGGAAGCGUUUUGGUCCACUGUCCACUCACACAGGGUUAGGCGGAGAGGAAAAAGCUACUGAGACUGAAGAAUGCCCUUUAACCCCACUUACUGGUUGUUUUGAUUCUUUCCUGUAGUUUCCUGAUAAAAGGUCCUUUGGAAACUUUGAUUCUCUUCUCACCAAGUUGAACGGAGAUGUGUUCCCAUAAACACCAUUUCCUGCAGCCUGAAAAGAAGACAGUAUAAUUGUUUGGCAGCAAGAGAAUCCAGGUGCCCUUCCAUGAGAAGCCCAAGCCAUGUGGAGAAGCCACGUCUAGGGA
rnacentral:lncRNA from 1 species